UGAAGCUUCUCUUUCUCCAUGGGCCCAUAUGGAUUUUCUUCUCCUUCAUUGAUCUCUUGGCUGAGUCACAGAGAAUACCAACAAUGGCAUUUAGGUAGUCAGCUUUUCCUAUGUAAUAUUUUGGUAAUUGAGCUACAAGUUUCUUGUACUCUUCACAUGCCUUUGCUAUCUCAAAUUGUUCCUUGAAUUCCAAUUCUAUUAGGUAUGGGAUUUGCUUCUUGCGUCCACUUGUGCUCACAAUUACUUCAAUGUACUCAUGUUUCCCUCCUGGGAAUUUUUUAGUGUGAUUCCACUUGGAAGUGCAGAGAGAAGCAUUGAAACCUCUUUGGCAGAGGAAAUCAACAACCUUUCGCCUGAAACAGCUAGUGGGCUCAGCGCAUUUGCAGCACUCUCUCUCCUUUGCCUUCUCUAUUAUUCUGUUUAUCUCUUUCCUCCACUUUGACCCUGUUGUGCUAUGGCAUUCUAGAACUUCCUGAAGCAAAGCCUCUUGUGAUUCCCAGAAAAUGGUUCUUUCCAUGGAGUUUUGAUGAUCAUCAAUAAAGGAAUCAUGAUCAUCAUAAUGAUCAUGGCCAUCAAAAGAAGGAUUAGAAUGAUCAAAAUCUUCAUCAAGAAACACAGAUACUCUCUCUUCAAGGCUGUCCAUGCUUCUUCUUCUUCUGCUAUUGCCAUAAUCAAGAGCCUUCUCUUCAACAAGAUGAUUAUUAAUACCCAUCUCUCUCCCUCUCUCUCCUUUGAAUUAUUUCAAAUAAAGAAAGAUAGAG
rnacentral:misc_RNA from 1 species